rnacentral:rRNA from 1 species
GGGCCCGCACAAGCGGUGGAGUAUGUGGUUUAAUUCGAUGCAACGCGAAGAACCUUACCAACCCUUGACAUCCUGUGCUACAUUCAGAGAUGAAUGGUUCCUUUCGGGGACGCAGUGACAGGUGCUGCAUGGCUGUCGUCAGCUCGUGUCGUGAGAUGUUCGGUUAAGUCCGGCAACGAGCGCAACCCACAUCUUUAGUUGCCAGCAGUUCGGCUGGGCACUCUAGAGAAACUGCCCGUGAUAAGCGGGAGGAAGGUGUGGAUGACGUCAAGUCCUCAUGGCCCUUACGGGUUGGGCUACACACGUGCUACAAUGGUAGUGACAAUGGGCUGCAAGUUCGCGAGGACAAGCAAAUCCCAUAAACCGUGGCUCAGUUCAGAUCGUAGGCUGCAACUCGACUCCA